UAUUCUGCCCUGCGGGGAAGGAUGAGAAGCUUCGACCAAGGUUCGACUCGAGCGUAGCGAGAGAACGUUGCCGCAGGCAACGGCCCGAAGGGCGAGGAGCGAUAGCGACGAGUUAUCCUUCCCCCACCACCA
rnacentral:sRNA from 1 species